rnacentral:rRNA from 1 species
GAUGAACGCUGGCGGCGUGCCUAAUACAUGCAAGUCGAGCGAACGGACGAGAAGCUUGCUUUUCUGAUGUUAGCGGCGGACGGGUGAGUAACACGUGGAUAACCUACCUAUAAGACUGGGAUAACUUCGGGAAACCGGAGCUAAUACCGGAUAAUAUUUUGAACCGCAUGGUUCAUAAGUGAAAGACGGUCUUGCUGUCACUUAUAGAUGGAUCCGCGCUGCAUUAGCUAGUUGGUAAGGUAACGGCUUACCAAGGCAACGAUGCAUAGCCGACCUGAGAGGGUGAUCGGCCACACUGGAACUGAGACACGGUCCAGACUCCUACGGGAGGCAGCAGUAGGGAAUCUUCCGCAAAGGGCGAAAGCCUGACGGAGCAACGCCGCGUGAGUGAUGAAGGUCUUCGGAUCGUAAAACUCUGUUAUUAGGGAAGAACAUAUGUGUAAGUAACUGUGCACAUCUUGACGGUACCUAAUCAGGAAGCCACGGCUAACUACGUG